AACGCACCUUGCGCUCCUUGGUAUUCCGAGGAGCAUGCCUGUUUGAGUGUCUUGAAGUCAUCAACCCCACACGUUUCGUGCGGAGUGGGGUUGGAUCUGGGGGCUUGCGGCCGCGAGGCCGCUCCCCUCGAAUGCAUCGGUUGGGCCUGCGGGUCGGACCCUCGGUUGGGCGUUGUACCAUCCUCGCUCCUCGUUCCGAGAAGGUUUCCCCGCGACCGUGCCCUCCCCCGACCUCCUCUGGAGCGGCGGUCAAAACAAAACACUUUGAAAUCUGACCUCAAAUCAGGCAGGACUACCCGCUGAACUUAA
rnacentral:misc_RNA from 1 species